UUUUGUCAACAGACGCGUCACUUUCCAUUCUGUCGAAAUACUAAGUGGCGGGGCCAAACCAGCUUUUCUACCGACCGCUCACCCCGGCGGAGGGGUUGGAUCGGAUGAUGGAGGACGGGCCCGGACCCGGUGAUAAAUAUUUUCCAGAUUGGAAGGCCGAAGCGUUUCCAGGCGGCCAACAAAUUUUAAGAGAAAUGCAAAAACUACGUUUCUUCGCUUUAAAUAUACAAUAUUUAAUUAAAACAAGGCGAUCGUCUACCCUAGCCAAGGCCGAGCGUCAAUUUUACUACGGUUUGGUAAAAAAUUGGACUCGAGUAUUUAUGGUCAGCUGGGGCUUAGACUAAGUGAAAAACGGUAUCGAUCUGGACCAGCAGAUUUCGACUGGAAUGAUAAUUUGGCCAGGCUAUAAUUCGAAUUAACAUAACGGAUCAGAAAAAACAAUUUUUUUACGCUUUACCCGGCAGCCAACUAGACCAUUACCAAUCUUGGAGGUGUAUCUGGCCACGGUGUGGAUGGGCAUUUCGGCGCUACGCUCUUUUCAGUCUCG
rnacentral:lncRNA from 1 species